ACGACUGAACAUUUAAUUUUUAAGGAAAAGGGGAAAAAAGUUCAAAACACCCCAUAUUGAAAAGAUUUAGGGUUCGGGGGUUAGUUACAUAAAGGGAAGGUAUUAGCACCCUUUACGUCCGUAGUACUCUACGGGAACCUCUUGGUUUUAUUUAAUUUAAUGUGCUAUAACUUGCUUGCUUUUGAAAAAGAAGUUAAUGUGAUGAUUAAAAGAAAAAGAAAGUGAGACCUAAUUUAUCUACAUUUUUUAUUGUUUGGAAGGACGAGUGUCCUCUGCCUACGUACCCGUGAAGGAUCAAAACCUCGUAGUUCGGGGUAGAAAACAACGUUUGAUUGGUUUUGUGUUUUUUUAUUAGUUUUUGAAAAAGGUUUUAAAGAUAAAAGCCAAGUGGCAAAUAAGAAUUUGUUUGUGUUUUUUAUUAAAAAAAAAGAUAACUCGAAGUAUGAUUAAAUUGAUUGAUAUUUGAUUGAGAAAAUAAAAUGAAAAAAAGGACGAUCACUUGAUUUAGGAUCAAGGUUUAUUAUGGAAAAAUGUUUUUUUUGUGAUUUUUUGGUUAUUUGCAUGUUUUUGUGAUUUUUGAAUAAAUAUAUAAACUAACGGAGCAUAAAGAAUAAAAGCGCGGCUACCCUAAGUUAGAAAUAUAAAAUCUAUGACUAUUACAUAAAAAGCCUAUUUACAUUCUAAGGUCUGCAAUAAAAUUAAAAUGCUAAAAAUAAAUAAACAAAUAUGAAAAGGAAUAAGGAAAAAUAAAAAAAAUGGUCCAAACACAAGGUGGGGUGCAGUAGUAAACAGGGGUGUGCAGAAAGCAGAAAAAAAAGAACUGGGCUUAAGGAAACGAACCGGGUCGUGGGUCACGGGUCAUGGGUUGACCCGUUUGGGGGAUAUAUAAGGGUUGUAGGGUUUUUUUUCUCUCAUUUUUCAUUUUCUUUCUCUCUCUUAUCCCUCAAAUCCUCUCUUCUCUCUCUACUUCUUUCUUCUUCUCCGGUUGGAGAUGGGGUGGCCGGGAGGAGUUCCGGCGCGGUGGCCGGCGAGCCAUCGCGGCUGCGCCGCCGCGCCGGAGCUAAAAAGCUCCCUUUUUUUUUAUUUUUUUCGCUCUUUCUCUUCUUCUUUUCCCCCUUUUCGUGAUACUAAACCCAAAAAUCCCAAAAGAUGGUUAUAUGAGUCUAGAUCUAAAGUUUAACGAAAUACUACCUUUGGAUUUGGCUUAAACUGCGCGUUUCGCCUUUGCUGUGGUUCGGUUUGACUCUGUAUGUGUACGGCCGCUGCGUGUGAUUCAGUGUGCGUGGUGCGGCUUCCUGUGCGUGUGUGUUUGUUGUUCUGCGCGCCUUUCCCUGUGUUGUGGUGUGGCUUCCUGUGCGCGUGUGUUUGUUUGUGCGAUGUCGCCCUCUGUUUCUCGUGUGUUCUGCUGCGUUCUGUUGUGUGUAGCUUCUCUGUUUUUUCUUGUGUUUUUUAUUGUUGUGCAGGUUAUGUAUUUAUAGUGCUGUUUGGGGACAAGGAUUUGUUACAAAAAUUGCAGAUUUUAGGAGAUUGAGACGGAGAUAGGCGCGUAACAGACUGGAUGAGGAUGAGGAUGAUGGUUUACGAUUUGUUACGCAUGAACCUGGACUGUUCUUGGGACUCAUGGACAUUUUUAGGACUUUGGACAAUUUUGGGAUUUUAAUUAAAAGAAAAUUAAUAAUAAAAGGAUAAUAUCUAUAUUUUUGGUUUUAAAAAGGAUAAAAAGGGAAAUUUAAAAAAGGAAUAAAAGAAAUUUAAUCUAAAUUGGACUAAAAUUAAAAUUAAAAUUUAAAAGAUGGAAAUAAAUUUUAGACUGAGAGAAGAGGGCCCGAUUCGGAAUUUUAUGAGGUAUUUCAAAAUACCUCCCUGCCGAAUUUUUCACUGAAAUGUGAGUCUGGUCCGAGUUCGGAGACGUGUGUCAGUGGGACCUUAGGUCAAAAAUUGGGGUAUGACAGAUGCCCCUAUUUAAGUUUCUUCGUUCAGAGAUUUGAAGAUGGAAUCUUUGAUUCGAUGAGCCGAAGAGACUUAAAUACAAAAGUGCACCAAUUUUGACCUAAGAUACUAUGAAUGUUCAUGAUUUAAUUAUGAAUGCAUGAUGACAAUGACGGCUCGACUGGAAUGAAAAGACACUAGGAUACCCAAAUUUUCGAAGAAAGGGAUCCGACUUUACUGGGGAAUCUGGUUUCGCUGGGGAAGAUGGUUGUCCCUCAUUGUCUCGACAUCUCGAAACAAAGUGCAAUGGUUCAGACUUCAAUGUCCAUUUGUGGACUUGGUUUUGAAAAUGAAAUAAUAGAAGGAUACAAGCUAUUUGUUGGUUGAAAUUGGCCACUUGUUACAGGCUGUUCGUUGGUUGGAACUGGUCGCUGAGCAUAAGGAUAAAAGAUUGACAUGAGUUGUUCGUUUGUUGGAACUAGUUGCUCUGAAAGUAAAAACAUUGGCAUAGGCUAUUCGUUUGUUGGAAUCGGUCGCUGGGCAUAAAGAUAAAAGAUUGACAUGAGUUGUUCGUUUGUUGGAACUAGUUGCUCGAAAAGUUGGAUUGGUGACAUCUCUGGAACAGCUAUGCUGGGGAUGAUACUUGAAGUUGAAGUUGACAUCGAGAUUAACUAGCGCCAUGACUAGUACGGCUUUCCGCCGGGGAUGACACUUCGAAACUAAAGUUGAAAUUGACGUUGAUUAGUGACAUGACCUAGCACGGUUUUUCACCGGGCAUGACACCUUUGAAAUUUGAAAUGGAAGACGCUUUACUCGUAGAAACUUGCGGCUCGAUGCCAUGGUAAACUAAGACUGAACCGAAGUGACAUGACCGAAUCGAUUGAUGAGUUUAUGUAUGAAUUGAUGUCGUGCACAUGUUGUGUACGCACGAAUGCAUGAUUAUCAGUAAAUGCAUGAUUGUUAUGAGUUUGUGGUUGUAUGAGUGCAUGGAAGCGUUGAUGUGAUGAAUGCAAGAUAAUUUGACUCGAAUGAGAAAUGAUAACGGAUAUCCAAAUUCUUUGAGAAAGGGAUCCGACUCUGCUAGGGGAACAUUGUAGUUUUACUGGGGGAAAAAGGUUGUCUACUAUCUGUAUGGUAGAUGUAAGAAGACAAGAGUUGUAUUACCUUACUACCCGUAUGAUAGUUGUAUGAAGGCAAGAUGAAAUAAAACAUUGUCCACUAUCUGUAAGAUAGCCGUAUAAAGGCGAAUAAAUGAGAUUACCUACCACUCGUAAGAUAGUCGUAUGAAGGUAAGACACAGAAAACAUUGUCUACUAUCCGUAACAUAGUCGUAUGAAGACAAAUGACAUAGAUUACCUACUACCCGUAUGAUAGUCGUAUGAAGGUAAGACGAAACAAGACAUUGUCUACUAUCCGUAAGAUAGUCGUAGGAAGACAAAUGACAUAGAUUACCUACUACUCGUAUGGUAGUCGUAAAAAGGUAAGACGAAACAAGACAUUGUCUACUAUCCGUAAGAUAGUCGUAGGAAGACAAAUGACAUAGAUUACCUACUACUCGUAUGGUAGUCGUAAAAAGGUAAGACGAAACAAGACAUUGUCUACUAUCCGUAAGAUAGUCGUAGGAAGACAAAUGACAUAGAUUACCUACUACUCGUAUGGUAGUCGUAAAAAGGUAAGACGAAACCAGACGUUGUCUACUAUCCGUAAGAUAGUCGUACGAAGACAAAAGGAAAAAACAAGAUAAAAGGGUAACCUCAAGUGGUCCGUUGGUGGACUUUGAUAGUUUGAAACGAGAUAAAAGGGUGAACUUAAGCAUCCGCUGGUGGACUUGGUGACUUGUUAUAAGGUAAAGAGAUAAAUGCAAGCUGUUCGUUGGUUGGAACUUGUCACUUGUCAUAAAGUAAAGAGAUAAAUGCAAGCUGUUCGUUGGUUGGGACUUGUCACUUGAAAUAAGGUAAAAGUGAGAUGCAAGUUGUCCGUUGGUUGGGACUUGCCACUUGAAAUGUUUGAUUGGUGACAUCUCUGGAACAGCUACGCUGGGGAUGACACUUUUGAUAAAGAAAGUAAAACAAGACGUUCAUUUGUUAGAAACUUGCGGGUUCACAAAACGAUAAGUUAAGACCGAACUGAAGAGACACAACCAAAACGAAAUUCUGGAUGAUUGAUGCAAUUAUGUGUGAAUUGAUGUUGUGCAUAUGCUAUGUACGUAUAAACGUAUGAAUAUGUGAGAAGAUUGAUGAAUGCGUGAUUGUAUGAUUGUAUGGAUGUGUGACUACAUGACUGUAUAGACCGUAUAUGCCAGAUGACUCGAUGAACCGAGACAAGACAGGUAAGAUGGGAGUCGGACCGACAUUGCAUUACAAACACUCGGCAACCUUCCUUGGAGAUGAUAUUAUUGUGAGCAAAUCGAGCCGUUGAUGGUGUAAGAACCUGGCACUAGGUAGCCACCGAUGCCUCCUGGGGGGUGAGCCCAUUGUUGAUGAAAGAAGUCUGGAAGAAGUCGCCAUUUGUAAACCGGCACAGAGUGUCCUUCCAUUGGUAUGCUUCAGCAGUCAUGCCUUUUGUUUUAUUGAAAAAUCCCUAAUUUUUGCCUGGACCGCCCUUUCGGGUUUUCAGUCCACCGGGAAUAUUCUUUUUUCUGCCCCCUAAUUUUUGCCUGGACCGCCCUUUAGGGUUUUCAGUCCACCGGUACGCUCUCUAUUGCCUAAGUCGCCUUUUCAGGUUUUCAACUUAGCGAGCCUUAAUUUUUUUUGUAUUUUUUUUUGUAUUUUUUGACUGUGACAGCAUCUUGCUCAAAGUAGAGGUCCUCUCCAUAGUGCUUAGCCAUGUUUCUCUUCCGGAGUGUAACCGUUCUCGAGGCGAAUGUUGAUGUACGCUUCACCUACUCACGAGUUCAAAGAGAGUGUGUUUAUUGUUCACACUUUUCAAAAGAGGUAAAACAAGUUUUUGUAUUUUGAAAUUUUUGCUUUAAGUAUUGCCAUAAAAAAUAGAAGAAAUUAUGCAAAUAGAAUAAAUGAGAGUUCCAAAUAAAUGGGCACAUGCUCAAAUUUGAUGAAUUGAGUGGUGACCUGCCAAGGGCAUGGCUCCACCGAUUUUGAAAAUUUUGGAAUAAUGGUAAAUGUAAUGGGAAGGGUACAUUGAACACAAAUAACCGCUAUUCUUCCUAACAACUUUGAAUGCCCCUGUUCCGAGUCUUUGAUCUGCAGAUGCUUCGAAUCGGAGGUCUUUUGAUAGCUGGACGCCCCAAGUGGAUUGUGCUUGACCGGAUGCAGUUACUUUGUCUUUUGAUCCUUAACUUUUGCAUAGAUCGCCCUUUGGGGUUUUCAAUCUAUCAGGAUAACCAUUUUUGUUCAUAUCUCUAACUUUUGCCUGGACCGCCCUUUCGGGUUUUCAGUCCACCGAGACGCUCAUUUUUGCCUAAGCCGCCUUUUCAGGUUUGCGACUUAUCGAGCUUUUAUUUUUGACAGAGUAUUUCUUGACUGCACCGACAUUCAUAGGAAGUGCAAGUUUGUCACCAUCCAUAGUUGUAAAAGUCAUUGCACAUGAACCUUCAUAGUUAGGCGUCCACUUGCCCCUUGAGUACGAUUGGAAGGGUAGUACCUUUUUGGGCACAAAGUCUCUUUCUUGAAAUUUGCGGGGACGAACCUUCUUGUUGGAAGUUUGUUUCAACCUCUUUUGACAUGAUUGUACAAGGUCGUCAUGCAUUUUAAGUUUAAUAAAGCUUAGACUUCGGCAGAACUCCUAUUGUCGGGACUUCGACCUCCACGAGAAGCACGACCUUCAUGUUAUAUACUUGAGGGAAGGAGGGGGAUUGCCCCUGUUGAAAAGCAUGAGAUCUGAGCAAAGAGAACGGUGGCACCUCGAGCCAGUCUUUGUAAGCGAUUGCCAUCUUCAUGAUUUUUGUUUGUAGCUUUGACGGCUAUGAUGCCCCAGCAUGUGAGAGAUCUCAUCGGGAGCCUCUUCACUUUCCUCUUCUUCAGCUUCGGAUACAAGGAACUCAAAGUUGGUAGAGAGUACAUGGUUGUUGUGUUCAAAGGGUUUAUUAAUGCAUGAUUUGAUUAUUGAUUUUGACAAGUAAGUACAAGUUAUGAUUAUGCAGAUAUUUGAGAAUGAUUAAAGAAGAAUUUUUUGGUUUUUUGUAUUACCAUUUUCCAAGAAGAAGCACAAAGUGAAAACAAAGUCGGGAUCAAAACGACCUUUUUAUUAAUGAUGACAAUUCUUUAAGCAAAAAGCCCUACACCAGUUCACUUUCAUCUAGGGCAGGACGAAAGGAUGUUUUUUUUUUAAAAGCGAAAAGCAACAGACAAACAUUAUUUGAACAAAAAGUAUCGGAAGGAACGUCAACAGCGACCCAGUUACGGUUAACCACUCCAUCUUGCGCGUCUGAAUUCAAUCUUUGAAAAACAACAUGUUAGCUUCAAUAAGCUUCUGGACUUCCGUUUUCAGAGAGAAAUAGUGCUCGGUUUCAUGGUCAGGAGCUUCUUAAUGGAAGGCAUAGGAGAGGUCAGCUUGGUACCAUACUGGCAACUCUUUAGGCACCUGAGGAGGCGUUCUGGUGUUGACAAGGUUCUUCUUGAGCAAAAUGGGAAGUAGCUCCGCAUAUGUCAUCGGGAUUGGGUCAAACGGCAUCUUUGGAGCCUGUUGUUGAGGCUUCUGUUGAUGUUGGCGUUCGGGCCCUUGCUGGAACUGCAGUUGAUUUGUGCGAAGCUACCAGUGAAGCUACCAAGGUACUUAGUCUCUCUAACUCGGCCUGAAGUGUUGUUACCUCUUCACGAAUGCUCGUGGAUUUCUUGUUCAAACUGAUAUGUUCUUUCUUUUUGUUUGCACGAGUGUUGUAGAUGCGAGUUGGCUUUGGACGAGGAUAGUCAGGAUACUUUGGAGAUGGAUUGACCUUUAGCAGAAAAGACACAGUGUAAGACUCAGACUUGAAUGCAAAAUGAUGUAUGAUAUGCUUAUGCAAAAAAUAGACACGUUUUUUUUUUUUUUUUUUUUUUGAAGGACUUGUCAAAGUAAUUGUGAACUUGAUAAGGAACAUUGUUUUAUUUGAAAUUUGUGAAGAUAUUGCUAUUGGUUCCUUUUUCAAAAGUAAGAACGAAACCAAGGAAAAAGUUCUUAACAAAAGCUAAAGCUUUUUUGAAGUUUUGGGUUUCUUGGUGUUCCUUCUUACAAGGACCAUAUCUUUGAUGUUUACGAAAACUUAUCUAAGUCCUUCGACAUUUUGAUGAAAAAAAGUUUUUUUAUGGAUGAAUGCAUGUAUGCAUGAUCAUGCAUGGUGAGGUUAAGUCCACAAUGUUGGAGCUUAGGGUAACAAUGCCAUUUGGUAAGGACUAUGGUUUCAUUUGUACCUGUAUCACGGGUUCUACCAAGUUCCCAAAGUCAUUAACCACUUCCGAAUAUUAUCGGGUUACAAGACUACUCUUGAUCCAAUAAGAUUCGUAUGAAAGUUUCGUUUGAGUGUAGUAUCGCGUAUCAACUAAUUCAAGACUACUCUUGAUUAGCCACCGCACUACGUCCUAAAAGGCCAAGAUGGGUUUAAGGUAACUAAAGGUCCUCAACUUUGACGGUCACUUGAAAAUAUAAUGCCAACACGACUAUUCAUGCCAACAUAAGUUACUUUCAAGAUCCCUCCAUUGAGUGGGGUUGUACCACAUGAACCUAAACACGAGACUUGACUCUCGGAAAGGCACUUUGGUUAUACCACCGUCCUAUCUUAUGUUUCUCUCAAGCCCGGGUGUAGGGCUUUAUCUCACCACUCAUAUUUAAGAAGAAGGGAAGAAAGAGAGAAAAGAGAAGGUAAAAGAUAUAUACAAUUAUUUCCAUCUUUAUUUUUUUUGUUUUUGUUUUAAGCAAGUUAUAGCACAAAGAAUUAAAUAAAGCCAAGUUAGGUUCAACCCUCUUAGUGGGGAAUCCCCAGUGAAGUCGCCAUUUCUGUCGCGUCAUUUUUCGGAGAUCAAGGCUAUUUAAUUAGCUUUUGACUCACUAAUUAUUUCACGACUGAACAUUUAAUUUUUAAGGAAAAGGGGAAAAAAGUUCAAAACACCCCAUAUUGAAAAGAUUUAGGGUUCGGGGGUUAGUUACAUAAAGGGAAGGUAUUAGCACCCUUUACGUCCGUAGUACUCUACGGGAACCUCUUGGUUUUAUUUAAUUUAAUGUGCUAUAACUUGCUUGCUUUUGAAAAAGAAGUUAAUGUGAUGAUUAAAAGAAAAAGAAAGUGAGACCUAAUUUAUCUACAUUUUUUAUUGUUUGGAAGGACGAGUGUCCUCUGCCUACGUACCCGUGAAGGAUCAAAACCUCGU
rnacentral:lncRNA from 1 species